rnacentral:rRNA from 1 species
UCGCAAUCUUCUUUAUCGAUUUGAACUCUCAAAAAAAAUUACGCUGUUAUCCCUAAGGUAGCUUAUUCUUAUAAUCCAAAAAUGGGAUCAAAAAUUCAUAAAUUUAUGAAAAAAUUUAAAGAAAAGUUUAUUUAAUUUUCCCGUCACCCCAACUCAAWWUUUUUUAAAAAAUAAAAUUUAUAUUCUAAUAAUUUACUAAAAAAAAAAUAUAAAGCUCUAUAGGGUCUUCUCGUCCCCAAUAUUUAUUUAAGCUUUUUCACUUAAAAAUAAAAUUCUAAUAAAUUYACCUUGAGACAGUAGGUUCUUCAUCAAUCCUUUCAUUCCAGCUUCUAAUUAAGAAACUAAUUACUAUGCUACCUUUGCACGGUCAAAAUACCGCGGCCAUUAAAUUUUCAUCAUUGGGCAGGACCGACUUUAAAUUAUAAUCAAAAAGAC